UACAGAGGUCUCAAGCGUUGUUCGGAUUCAUUGGGCGUAAAGGGUGCGUAGGCGGCGCGGUAAGUCGGGUGUGAAAUCUCGGGGCUUAACUCCGAAACUGCAUUCGAUACUGCCGUGCUUGAGGACUGGAGAGGAGACUGGAAAUUUACGGUGUAGCGGUGAAAUGCGUAGAUAUCGAUAAGGAAGACCAGUGGCGAAGGCGG
rnacentral:rRNA from 1 species